rnacentral:rRNA from 1 species
GGCUCAGGAUGAACGCUAGCGGCAGGCUUAANACAUGCAAGUCGAGGGGUAUAGUUCUUCGGAAUUAGAGACCGGCGCACGGGUGCGUAACGCGUAUGCAAUCUACCUUUCACAGAGGGAUAGCCCAGAGAAAUUUGGAUUAAUACCUCAUAGUAUAGCAGUUUCGCAUGAAACCACUAUUAAAGUCACAACGGCAAAAGAUGAGCAUGCGUCCCAUUAGCUAGUUGGUAAGGUAACGGCUUACCAAGGCUACGAUGGGUAGGGGUCCUGAGAGGGAGAUCCCCCACACUGGUACUGAGACACGGACCAGACUCCUACGGGAGGCAGCAGUGAGGAAUAUUGGACAAUGGGCGCAAGCCUGAUCCAGCCAUGCCGCGUGCAGGAUGACGGUCCUAUGGAUUGUAAACUGCUUUUACACAGGAAGAAACAACGCUACGUGUAGCGUCUUGACGGUACUGUGAGAAUAAGGAUCGGCUAACUCCGUG